CAUAGUGUUCAUUUUCCAGAUCCCCCCACACUUAAAAACAUACAAAUAAGCAAGCAGACUCUAAAAUAACUCCAAACAUUUUAUUUUCUCUGACAUGUAAUAGAGAAUACAGAAAGCCAGCAGUUUGAUUACAAAAUACGUGAGUCAUUUUUUUUUUCUUUGUCACCUGAACGACAAACUUCCAGCUUUUAGAUUUUGCAACAUAAUCAAAUCACAUAUUUCUCACACCACAUGCACAUCUUGUUUCAUGUAAUGAAAUAGCUAAACAAUUAGUCAGGGUCGAAUAGUUAAUGCAGCAUAUUUUUCUCUGUGCACUAUACAGAAAUGUCAUUCAAAUACUCAGAAAUGCAGAACUCGCACGUUACGCUCUCACGUCGUGCACACUGCAGCAACCACACUUUACUCAAAUUACUCAGUUCAGCUCAAACUGUUAAGCACGUUUUGGGUUGUAUGAUAUACAGUAACAGCAAAGCAGAAAAUACUAUAAUUAUGAAGCAAUAAAAAUAAAAGUUACGUAAGGCACAAGCAAUCCGAUAGCUAGGCUACAUAGUGCAUUAUCAGUUAUUAUAUUUAUUUUUUUGUAAUUUAUAUACUACAAAAUAAUAACUGAUGCAAAAUAUAGAUAUUUUACUUAAUUAUCUUUUGCUUAGACAAACUUUAAAACAUAUAAUUUCGACAUCAUACCCCCCCCCCCCGCCCCCCCGCAGGACCCAACCCAUUUGACCCUUUGAUAACUCCCAGUCCCAACAAGUCAUAUUUCACAUUUACUGUGUUCAAAAUGCUCCCUAAACACUAGUUAUGAAACCUUAUUACACAUAUACGAUAUAAUAAACAUAUUUAGCUAAAGAACUAAUAGAACACAGCAUUAUUUGAGUCCUAAACUCACUUGGGCCGUGGGAGUGAUACGUCAGCAGCAGCAGAGCGUGCACAGAAAACGCCUGACAGCUCCAACUCUCCGUCUGCAGCUCCAUUCAACAUGUUAAACAAGCUAUUAAGAUCUCACGAAUAUGUAACCCUAACAAUUAUAAAGCACCACAAGCUAAAACUCGCGCCUGUAAUUUUCACACAAGUCUGCAGACGCUCGCGUUACGCACAAGUUCUUAUUAUCACAGUCACAACAAAUCCAUUUGAAGCUACAUAUAGGCUAUGAUUUAAUUAGAACAAAUAAGAUUAAAUCAGUAUGUGUUUGCCUUCAUGUCUUUGAGAACUAAAGCAACACGACUCAACACAAGCGUUCAUGUGCAUCUCGUCUACACAAUUUCACUAAUUAAGCUCAUGAGUCUCACGUGUGCACGUGACACGUAAGCAAGUCCGGCUCAUUUAUUAAACCCAGGUAGUUUACAGACAGAUAUUGCAAAUACCUGACGAUGUUAUGUUGUUCCUACAAAGUAAUCAACUUGCUUAAUAUCCAUUUACAGGUGUACAGCAGUCUAACAGACGUUGGUUCGACGUUGAUCUUGUGUGCAGGAUACAAGGUAACGUUUUCCCAUAUUUGUAUCCUAUGGGGGAAAAAUAAAACACCUUUUAGUAUUUUUAAAAAAAGAUAAUAUCCUCUGAAUCAUGCAUCAUUUAUGUAUAAUCUAAAAAAAAAGUUUUUAUCACAACUAAUGCUCAUUCAUAAAAU
ensembl:lncRNA